rnacentral:hammerhead_ribozyme from 1 species
AUUCAGCUGACGAGUCCCAAAUAGGACGAAACGCGUGUCCUAGAU